UACGUAGGUGGCAAGCGUUGUUCGGAAUUAUUGGGCGUAAAGGGCGCGUAGGCGGUUGGUUAAGUCAGCUGUGAAAGCCCGGGGCUCAACCCCGGAGGGUCGGCUGAUACUGAUUGACUAGAGUACGGAAGAGGUAGCUGGAAUUCCCGGUGUAGCGGUGAAAUGCGUAGAUAUCGGAAGGAACAUCAGUGGCGAAGGCGACUUCCUGGACCAAUACUGACGCUCAGGUGCGAAAGCGUGGGGAGCAAACAGG
rnacentral:rRNA from 1 species